AAUCGCCGCCACUGCACCUUGCCCGCUUGUCGCCACCGUUCCGUGGAGUCCGCCCUGGUGCCGGUUGAACAGGGAUGAGGGAGAGGCGUCGAGAGAGAGAUGCAAUGGAGGUCAGAGGGAAGAGCUGCCAUCACCGCCGUUCCGUCUAUGAAGCCUGAGCUCGUGUUGCCUUCCUGAGCUUCGGCGCCGCCGUGGAGGAGAGUGGAGUAGUCACCGUCGUUGGAGAGAGGGAGAGCCAGAGGAGGACGAGACGUGUGAGAAAGGAGACGCACAGGGGAGGAACCGUUCCUCUGCCGCCGCUAUCGCCGGAAUUCCUGGUCGCCGUCGUCGUUCAUGACGUAUGCCCUGCUCUCUAGUUUCUGUUUUUCCCGAGUACCAGAGCUGCUGCUCCAUUCCUGUAUUUCUUUUGGUAAGAUAGGUUUUGUUCUACAAUCAAUAUUCUGAUUACUGCUCCUUUGAUAAUCUGUUCUGUUUUACCCUUGCAUUUGCUUCAGCCUCUAUUAAAUUCCCUUCCAAAAUUGUUGUUGCUGCUACUAGAGUUGUGGGUGAUGCCGCUGCCGUUCCAGUUGUAUUGGAGUGACUACCUGCCACAAAUUGGGGAUAAAGGAAAUUGUUACGUUAGAUAAUACUAUUCCGGCUAAUUGAGCGACAGGUUUGAAGACGCAAUUUGAAGCUGCGAGCGAUCAGUACGCUUUCUUUAU